UUGAGAAUUAUUCAGCAUUAUGACGUCACGGGAAUUCCAUUGUGUAGGUAUACGUAUGACAGAAGAGAAUUGCGAAUCAGUACUGUUCGGGAAUUGCGUUGUGAUGGUAUGGAGAAGAUGAGUCCAUCGUGAAAUCUGUCAUGGCGUCUGGAGGCUGCGAAUGUGAGAACUUGGGCGACAGCGGGGGAGAACUGAUAGUACCAGAGAACUGAUAGUUGGAAACAACGCUUUGGUUUGUAAAUUUCUCGAUGUAAUUUUAUGCUGUUGAAUUACUGUUCUUGAUUCGUGCUGAAUUGUCUUUACGUUCCACGAAUAUUGCUUGUUCUAUUGUAACUUUCCAUUGUGUUGUAAAAUAAAAUGAAAAAUAUUGUUUUGCUUCUUUAUUUGAUCCUAUGAUUCCUCUCUUCGUAUAAUGUGUGUAUUCAUGUACAGACGUCAUGGGGAAAGGAGUCUUAAAGGGUUUCGAAUGCCACUUCGUCUCAUCGGCCGUUGUGAAGAAUGUGACGUAGUAUUUGAGUCUGGAAGUGCUUAAGGAGACUGGACUCCUGAAAUAUCUGGUGGUUCGUCAGAAGUACGUGCGCACUCAUUAUCAGGUACAAGGAUUUUGCAUAUGUUGAUUCCUUUUUAUAUUCUACUUAACGAAAUUUUUGUUUUCUGCUUAAACAGUGGGUAGAAACAGAUGACAGGAUGCCGAUGGACAAUUUGAUAUUUUCAAGUAACUGGAUUAUUAGAUUUUAUCAUUUUGCUCGCUAAGUGAAUUUGAAUUGUUUUAUCAAGUCGCGACUCUCCAAGUUUUUCACUUCAUAUUAGUUUAAUGGUGUGGUAAUAUGACGUCUUGCGUGCAUUGUCGUUGUUGGUGUAAGAAAUUCUAUCAGUAUUUUGAAGUGUGACCUAAUGCGUUUAGUUUAUUUUUUGGUGCAAGAUUGUGCAAUAUGUUUUUGUUUUCUUUUUCCUGUAUACAUCACCCAUUUGGUUUUUUAGCAUUUGUUGCUAAAUGGUGUCAGGUGUAUUCUUUGGGUUCUCAUCACUAUAAGCAGCUCUGUUAGGUAUUUUGUUUCCACAGUUCAGUAUCGUGUUGACAUUUUGAUAGAAUAGGUGCUUUUCCACCCUUAAUUUCUUUUCAUUAGAAGCAAAUCUGUUGUUCCUAAAAGUGCCUCUUAUGCAAUGAAUGUGCUGUAUCUGAGAUCCAGCAGAAAAUUGGGAAUUGUAGUAUAACUUUUUCAUUUUGUACCUGAAGCUAAGAUUUUCUCCUUGCUCAGUACAAGUCUUCACACAUUUGUAACAGUUUCAUACCAUGCAUUUUAUUUAUAAUUACUAGCUUGUCCAAAUAGUUUAGUUGGUCUGCUGUAAGUGGAAAUGAAGUGUUGUGUUUGUAUGUAAAACAUGUCUGGGGGGGGGGGGGGGAGGAGUUUGGGUUAUCUGCUACAGUUACUGGCCUGUAUGGCUAGCCCCCAAAUACUAUUGGCUGCUGUCUAGUUGCUGACAAGAGCUAAAUGUAGUGUUGUUUAGGCAUUCCACUUUCAACAAGUGAACAGACUAUUGCACACAAUGCUCGGAAUCGGAGCUCCCUAACUUGGAUGGGCACAUCUGUGCAGAUAAGUACAUCUGAAUACUUUUGCCUUUUACUGUUUGGUGCCUGGUCACCAUUCACAACCUAACAAUUUAAUAUGUGUUAUGAAGUGACUGCUGUGCUAGACUGGUAAGCAUGUGCAGUGCAUGAUAGAAGUGAGAUUCUCAUCUCCACCUUGGCUACUCAUGUUUAGGGACCUUGCAGUCCACUUCUGAAUUUGUUCGGAACACUGAACAUACAUUUGAGGAUUUUUUGCCAUUUAGUCUGUCUUGUGCCUUGUUUAAAAGUUUCUAUUUUGUAGACUACUUGGAGAUGUUUUUUCUUUAAUUUAGUUUGUGGUUAAAAUUUUUCUUCUGACAGUUUAGUUAACAGCUGAGGUUUCACAGUAGGUUAACUGCAUAUACUGUUGUUCAUUGCUGUUCAUGUGCAUUUAGGACCAGUAUAGCAUGCAGCAAGAUGUUAUGCAGUACUGAUCUACGUGGCCCAGCUUAAGAUGUUGAGGAGCUCCCUAAAACUGUUGAUAGUGCAGUAGUUACUUGGAUGCAGGCAAUAUCCAGUGAAGGUAAAGUACAUUAUAAAGCUGCAUUUUUUGAUGAUCCAGUAUGAACUUAUAAAAGUAUUUUUAUUGAUUUCAUGGCCAGAGAACAGUAAAUUCUGGAAGCAGUGGAUAAUAUUUGAAGUCUCCGUUGUCAUUUGUGUGCGAUAAACUGUCUGCAGAAAAUCUGGAAUCAACAUUGCUAUAUACUGCAGAGAGUAGUUGGAUCUUGAGCAAAAUUUUGGCGAGACAAGAUGGUAAACAUAUGAAGAAAUUAAUCCAUUUGGUGACUUCACAUAUACCCAUUGUAUCUUCUGUUUGCAAAGGCAUUCACUUUGCAAUAUUUCUUGAGUCAAUUCUAGUGCAUAAAUCUUGCAAAAGAAUGUCUCGUAGCACAUGUAACGCGUUGUAAGACUGACCCAACACUUCCUUGAUAUUGAAUGAGCAUGAACUUUUUAAAAGUUUGACUUAUAGUGAUCGGGUUAUCAGAAUUAGAUGUAUUCUCUACCUUACACAGGUUACUUUCUUCCCUACAAUACGGAAAGAAGUAAAAAUGAAACAUUGAAUAUUUGAAAGAAAAGAUGUCUUCGCUACCUUAUUUUGUCAGACCUGCAGCUGUUGACAUGUUUGGUAAGUCAAUGUACAUAUAGUGUGAACACUUUUUAGUGUGCUUCAACAAAUUAAAUGUAUGGAGCUACAAAUUGGAACAAUAUUACCACUUAAACGUACUUAGUUAAUAGAUAUCCACAAAAAAAUUAAACUUGUAGAUCUUCUUUGUGAACAUACAGUGGUGGGCCUAUACAGAGGAAGGAUUAAAUGUAUGCUUAAAUAACUAUGAGCAGUACUAGUAUUUUGUCUGGACUUCCUGCCAAAUAUCCAAAACAAAAGGUGCUCUUUUACGCAGCAUCCAAGAUUUAGAUACACUGUAUUUCAUUAGUGCUUAGUGGUACACUAUCUGAUUACACUGCAAGUUGAGGUGGUACUCUGUGCCAAUCACUGAACAAAGGGUUAGCUCCAUGUAAGUUGGGCAUUAGUGUGUUGGAGAUAAGGUGUCACCUUUUUACUAUCCAGUCAGUAAGUACAAGUGCCUUACCCUUUUUUGCAUGGACAAAACAUUGCUGUGUUUUAUGAGGGAGGGGCAGACUAAAUUGAGCUAUAUAGAAGUAAGCCAACAUCUGUACUUGUUUUUGGUUGUCAUGGUUCCUUAAUUUAGAAGUGAUGAGCAUUCCUUUGAUCACUAUAAAUGCAGAUUGUGCACUGGCAGUGAAACACAGCCAGGAUUGCCUAUGUUGUGUGCUGUGAAAGAGGUAAGUGCCAUGUAAGAAUAAGUAACAAAGCACUAUUUGUAUCUGAAAAAUUGAAAACCAUCAGAUUAGGCUGUAAAACAAUAUUUUUGAUGAGCUAGUGCCCAUUGCAAAUUAUUACAUUUUUGCACGUCAUACAACAAAACAGACUAUCAGAUUGUUUUUAGCAAUCUGUUCAUUUUGUGAGAGUAUAGUAAUUGUGUUGUACAGAUGUUUAACUGGUGACAUUCUCAUUAGUCAUUACUUUAAAGUGUUUACUCACAAAACUUCCUUAAGACAGAAAUUAAAUUUACCAAACCAUGCAUAUACUUUGAUGGGCAUACCUCGUUUAGAAUGUACACAAAAAUUGAACCAAUGCAUUGAGAACUUCUCUGGUUAGUAAGUCCCCUUUCAUAGUAUUUGGUGAAUACAAUAACCUGUUCAGCCCCUCCUGUUUGCUUGAUAUCCUUCCUGAGAUCUUGAGUGAUUGCUUGGAAGCCAUUGUGAUGUAAAAUGUCAGUGUAAUGAACCACAUAACAUUUGGGGAAACGCUGCUUGACAUUUAAGUGGUGGCACUGUUUGAAUUAGAUUUCUCUAUGGUAAGGAAAAGGUGGAGAUAAUGUUAAAUUGUAAAGAAUUUUUGAUUGUAUACUACUGGCAACUGUCAUCAUCCUGCGAGAUCUUAAUACAAAUUCUUGAUUGAUUUGUCUGCAAAUUCAAAUGCUUUACAAACUUUGUAAUAGUUUGCAUGGUUGAAGCAGGCUUGUAAGUAAACUGGUGUUCGAAAUGAGUCUGUAUUUGGUUUGAAAUUGGGGGAGGGAGAGUGAAGACAUAUAGUAUAGAGCCUGUAAUGAAUUUGGAGAAGUUAUUGCUACCUUUAUCUGCUUAGGCAUAGUCCAUAUCAAUUCAGACAGGCUAGGAUAAAAUCAUGCCUUCCUCAUAUGUUAUUGAAUUUAGCAUAUGUUAAAAUGGACUAAAUAAGGAACUUUUUUUUCCUCCCAAAAUAAAUCUGCUCUGAGAUAAGCCCUCCAAAUCUGAUGCUGCAUGUGCCACGAAGAAGUAAAUUUUGGAAAAUUUUAAAAUGGCAUAUAUCUGCUACAGUUCUAGAUAUUUUGUUGGUUUUUAUUUGAAAGUUAAUUGCUUUACAAUUUUAAAAAAUCCUCCAUUUGGACUUCUAAGUUCUUUUACUGCAGUGUUUGGAGCUUUUAUAAAUUAUGGGAUUUUUUUUGUAAAUGCCAAUCCAUAAAACUUUUCCUUCCUUCCUUCCUUCCUUCCUUCCUUCCUUCCUUCCUUCCUUCCUUCCUUCAUUCCUCCAUCAUCCUCCUUUCUGUUGAUUGGUACCAUAGGAGAGCUUCCACUUUUAGGUUGAACAGGUUUUACAAAAAAUUGAAAUUCUUGUCAUACUUAAAACCUGUUUUAUCAUCACAUAACAGGCUCAUAAAAAUCAAAACCUAGCCUUAUUUAACACAAUUUUAAUUUUGAGAGAUGAGUAAGAGCCUCAUUUUUUAAGUGGUUCCAAAAUGUAUGAACGGUCCAAAGACCGUUUCAAUUUAUACAACUUCUGUGAUUCAGUUUUGUACUGAAAUUAGCCAUAAAGUUGUUCCAUUGCUUCAGCAUCUUCCUUUGAUAUACACUGAUGCCUUGUUGUUGAACCUAUGUGAACUGAAGCACUCAUAAUCUUCAAAACAUGGUGAACAGGAAGUGAGCACUGACGGUGUUUCUGUGCUUCAGCUGGAAGCCUAUAUCCAGCAACUGGUCCAUGUGGUAGCUUAAAAUUCACUUCAAUUUUGUUUAGUUCAUAAUUGGUGUCCAUAAUCUCUGCAAUCUACCAGUCAUGUCAUGCACAUGCACCACGAGCAUCCUCCUCCUAAGAUUUUGAAUAUUAUCCUGGUGUUGGCUGAAUGAAUGAAAUUUCUUUUUUCUUGCUCUUUGAAGUGGGUGCAAUAUGAGUUAGCCUGUCCAUGUCCAAUAAUGUCCCCCCCCCCCCCCCCAGUUCCUUUCACAUGAGUAGUUUGGACCUUUCUUCUGCUGACGGUGUUCUUCGAUUUCCUCUUUGGACAAAAGAAUGAGGGCUGUGGGUGUGUAGGAUUUCAUGACUCUCAUAAAAAUCCUCGGCAUUCUUAAUCACAGCUGUAUUUGGUCAGGAAAAGAUUGUUCUGUAGCAUGCAUUCAGCAGGCCACUUACAUCAUGAAAAGGCCUCUUCCUGUGACCAGUAGCACUGUAUGCCCAGUCAGUUGCCACCAGUGACUUACUCAAUGCAAACAUCUGGUAACAAUUUUUAAAAUCUGGGAGCACCCUAUCAAAAAUAAUGAUCUUCUCUGCUCCUGUUUGCAGUUUAAUUUUGUGCAUGGUUAGCAAGACUAGCUGUCCUGUCCUGUGUCAUUGCUUACAACUGCAAGACUUGUCUUGUGUUGAAAAUGUCACUCCUGUAAAAAUUGAAACCUUGUCAUACCCUUGUACUUCUUGUAGGAAAGUUGCAGAUCAGUUUUCAGCAAAAUCACGGUGAAGCACUAAACUUAAUUCUUCGGCCUGUACACUCUUUCACUUCUGCAGUGUGAUGUUGCAAAUUCUUCAGAUGCUGGUGUCUUAUUGCUUUCACUGACCAUUUACCAAUGAAACUGUUACCAUUGUAAUCAUAAAGCAAUAACCUUUCAAAUAAAAAAACAGCAUUUUAAUUUUUUUUCGUGAAGUUUGCAUCUUCAAAAUGGUGUUUCCAGUGUCAUCUUUGGAGGCAUGUUAUCUCGGGAGUAUGAAGGUAAUCUCCCACCACCACUCACACAGAUUAUGCCCUCAGUAAAAACACAGAAUCAUUGUGAUAAAUUUAAAAAAAUGUACAAUACACCUGGUGGCUAGCAGAAAUAGGCUAUUCUUUACAUUCCUGCUCUGUUACAAAUCAGUUGGAGUGGCCUAGAUUUGACAAUCACAUUUGUUGGGUUUGCAACUGGUAACUACAUUACCUUGCCAUCUAAUGUAAACCUUAGACAAUGGUGCAGAUCACAAUUAUAUUGAAAUUUCAGCUAAAUCUGCCACAUGUUGGUGUGUUGCCAAUUACUGUGGAAUGUAACUGUCUUUGACACAUCCAAAAAGCCUGGCAGUGAGAGAAAUUACACUGCACAAGAGCAUUAACAUAAUUUUAUGAGAAGUGUCUUUGAAACUGAAAUGCCUGUGGGUCUAAUGUCUUGUGUAGUAGGCAAAGUUCUCCCUCCCUAAGUCGCUGUUAUAGGUUGCAUACUUGUCUGCAGCAGGGUAGGUUACUGAUCACAUGCAAUAUAACUUGUCUGCAGAGGUAGUUCUAAGAUUUAAUGAUCUAGGUGUAGAGUUGGUUUCAAUCCACUCAAAUCUCUUUCAGUAAAUGACAAUUGAUGUAUGGAGCUAUCUGAUGUGCAUUGCUAUGAAUACUGCUUCAUUACAGAUGUUUGCUAGCAAAAUACCGGUAUGUGCUGGGAUAGGCGCCAGUGAGUAUUGCACUAUUUUGUACAAUUGAAGUUGUUGCGGUACAUCUGAUAAAGUAUAAUGGCACCAAAUGAGUCAUCCUCCCAGUAGACAUAGAGUACUGUCUUGAUGGAUUCUAAGUAAUUAAUUAUUCUACAGUAGACGAAAUUUGAAACACAUUUCUAGUUUAUACAUGUACAUACUUUGGACAUCUGUUUAGUUGUUGGUGACAUUGGAUAUUCCCUCACAGUACAGGUGUUUUAAACUUAAGAGAAAUUUAUAUUAUAAAAUAUUUCCUAUAAGGGCGUUCAUUGUUUUGCGUUGCUCUUCAAAGAACAUACACAUAGAGUGAAAUGGGCUGUGCUAAAGUUAUGUACCCAUGGAAGUAGAGGGCAAUUCUCAUCUUUUAUAGUCAAAUCAAGGUUGAUAGCAACAUUAAUUAGUUUAACCCUUUAACUGCUCUGAAAGUGUUUACAUGCACCACCAGCCCUUCUACCUGGUGUUCUGAACGUGGUUUCGCCAGUGUACAGUAGUUUAGGCAGACAUUAAUAAUGUGAUACUACUGGGGUCCUUUUUUAUGGUUGGGUAUGCUUCAUAUGUCAUUCUUCCUCAGUGCGUUGUGGGUCUGUACACUAGCAGUUGUAGUCCGAUCUGCACUAUCUUUUAUGAUGUACAGGAUAAUUAUAAUUAGUUAAACUUUCAAACCCCUGUAGAAAAAACACAACUGGUCAGAAUGAUGUCAAGUUGCAAUGGAGAAUGAGGAAAAUGUAUGACAGAAGACAAAUAAAUAGUUAUAAAAUGUAGCAAUUGAUAGUGCUGUAAGCAUCAUAAUUUAAUAGUAGUCAUCUACAAGUGUUAAAUGAAUCAUACAACAAUGACUGUACAGGCGUGGUACUGUUAGUUACGUAAGCCCAUUCACCACAGCAAGGCCAUGUCACGUCAGAUGGGAAUAAUCGGUUUUUAACUGUCCAGAGGCCAGGAACCGCAUAGAAAUCAUGAGUAAAAUCAGAUUAUUAAUUUCUUUGUGACUGGUGUAAAACAUGUUCAAUAUACUGUCCAAUGUCUUCUGCAACAAGUUGAAAUUGAGAAGCAGAUUGUUGGCACAACUGAUCAGUGUUUCUGAGGUCAUGCUCAGAAUGUGUUUUGCGAUGCAUGCCUUCAAUGCAGCUGAGUUUGCAAUUGGAACACAUCACAUCAUCAUCUUUCUGAUAGCUCCACAGCCAGAACUCUCACAGAUUCAGAUCAGGUGAUAGGCAGGCUGUAGAGAAGUGGCAGCUGAUAAUUCUAGCGCUUCCAAAAUGGCGCUUCAGCAGCUGCUUAGAAAAAAAACUAUGGCCCUAUGAUAAAUGAUGCCAUAAACCAGCACCAUACAGUGACCUUUUCAGGAUGAAGUGGUACUCGUUGAUUUGCGUGUGGAUUUUCCAUUGCCCAUAUUUGAUAAUUCUGUGUACUGACAUUUCCUGUCAGAUGGAAGUGAGCUUCGUCUGUCAAGAUCAUCUUCCACAACCAGUCAUUGUCCACUCCCAUGCGUGCAAGAAAUUCUAAAGCAAAGGUCAACAGGGAACAAUUGUGCACAUGCGUAAUUCUGAAUGGAUAGCAAAGAAGAAUGUUUCAUAGGAUUUCAUGCUCAUAGGCGUGUCCAAUGUUCGGACAAUUCUCAGUGCACUACACAUUUGCACACCACCACUACUCAUCUCCUCUUACAUUGCUGUGGCCACUGAUGUCGAAUCAGUUCGUUUUGUCCCUCUACCAGGUUGCCCACUAAAAGACCCUAUCUUUUCUAAUUUACAGAUAAUUUUCUCCAGACCCAUAGCAUUCAUCAGACCAACGCCCUUUUUUUCUUUUUUUUUUGUAUAAAACUUUCAGCAUCAUUUGUGUGUUUCUUCUAAAGUAAGCAUAUGAUCUUCUUUUGCCAGUUGGUGUAGUAUUCUUGGUUAGCAGCCUCCCUUUGAGUGGAAUGUGAAGUCACCUGUUUCAUGAGUGGAAAAGUUCAGAUGAUCUCCAUAUCCUCCUUGUUCUGUAUUAGUUUUGUACAGUAUAAGUGCUUUUACAAUCGCCACAUCUAGUAGGAAGUGAAUGCCACCGCUUAUGAAAACUUCGAUCACUUACACAACGUUCCUGAAGUUAACCAAAGUGAUCUACACAUCCUGUUUAAGUUGUUGUAUGUUGCCAUAACUCUUGGACAAGUAAUAUUGCUGGCAGUACCACCUUAUUCUUCCUCGAGACAAAUGUGGUGUAGGGUUGUCGAAAGUUGUCAGAAUAGUGACAAGUGUGUUGUCCAUCCAUUUUAUAGCUCCAAUACCAUGUUUACACUGGAACUGAAAUCGAAAUCUUCCUCUUUAGAUAGUACAUGUGUUUCAUCAUUGGAGGCAGACCUUUCUGAUAAGCUCUGAUUGUGCCUGUACAAUAGAUGCCAUUGUUCAAUAGCAUUUGCAUUAGAUUCAUAAUGGUGAAAAACUUGUCAAAUGCUACCGCAUUGUUAACUACGUUUCAGGUCUUUGGUUAGGCUAAUGACUACAUGCUCUCACAGAGAAUUUUCGUAGAUCCAUCGUCUGAUUUUCCUGUGUAUAUAUCAAAUUUUGUGACGUAGCCUGUCUAUCUGCUAAACGCUACAAUUUGUAUCCUUAUUUGAUUGGCUCCAAAGGCAUGUACUGCUUCAGCGAUGACAAGGAGUAGUGGAAGUAUAUGGCUUACGUAUCGUGUUCAGAAAGAUUAUCAGGGGUCUGACGUCACAAUGUUUAUUACGGUUUGGAUGCUUUCUUAGAGGACUCAGAGUAUUAUCAUUUAUGCGAAUAGUUUCACAUAACAUUUCUGAAAUGUUAGCAUGACAUAAGCUGUGAUACAUAAGACUGACAUAAAGUAGGUUCUGAACUCAGGCAAAGCACCACUCUUGGGAACAUGAUACCCAUUAAGAUAUUCACUCCAAUCCACGCCUAUAGUUCAACAACAGAUAAGCUUGUCCUUUUGAUCACCUCAUUUAAGGUAUGGCCAUACUGCUGAUUUCGAGUGACCUGCUCUGCAUAGAGAUUUGUCUGCUGAACCACAUGCUCUAGCAUCUCAGCUGUAAAUAAGCCAAUAAAUAGAGUAGUCUUUCUCAGUGCCAUUUUGUCAAUGAGCGGUUGACAACUGGUUCUCGUUAUUUACCCACUUCAAGGAAUUCGAUAACAGCAGUGUUAUCUGACAAUUCCUCCUCUGACGAUGGCAGUGUUAACAGACAGUUCCUCCUGUGCCAAUGGCUCUUCUGCACUUACGGUACCAUCUCUAGAAGUUAAAACUUCUGUAGCACCUCGGAACCAUUUACACUGUUAUUCGUAUCAGAGUCCUGUAAAGUGUCUAAAUAGAAUUAAACAUCGUUAGCUAUCACUGCCUAUUUUCAGACUCCUCAGGAUUGCUAGGCAGUGAAAACAGCAGCUCUAAUGCUCCUCACACUGUAUUCCUUUGUAUACAGGUGAUUCUUAAGCAUUUUGAUUAAAAAAAAAAAAAAAAAAAAAAAACAAGGAAAGAGAGAGAGAGAGAGAGAAAGAAAUGUGAAUGACAGUGACAAAAACCACUAAGAUUCAAAUUAUUUUUAUUAACAGUAUUAAAGUUUACUUACCACAAUGCGAAAACAAUGCCAGAAACUUUCAUCACACAGUAAAAUUAUCAUCUAAUGACAGACAGCAAUAAUGUAUAUUGCAGAAGUAAAGCAGUGUGUACCGACAACAGCACUGUUCAUUUCUCUGCGAUGGGGUGCGUGCAUGUUUUCUCUUCAACAGGUAUUUGGCACAAGGAACUCUGCCCAUACUGAGAGACUUGAAGAGGUAUCCAGUUUGUAAGUUUGCAACAGUAAUAAUACACUUAUUUUUGAGAGUCUAGUUGCUUUCUUUGAUGUAAGGUAAUAGUCUAGAUAGUUACCCUUGGUUGACGUGGGGACAUUUAAAUGUGGGAUAAGCUGUUUGGUUCCUCUCGAGCAGGUACUGUGUGAAGAGUUGUGUACUGUGGCCUGUUAGGAAUGGGUAACCAACUUUGGACAACUUGAAAGAGGAGUAUUGUAGAGGGAUUUAGAGCCAAUCGUGAGGUAAGAGUUACAUUGGCAACUUUGUGAGUAUGUGGCUUUGUGUGUUUAAUCAACGUCGCAGAUGUGUGUUGUCACCGUGAGCAUUAGUUCAUGCGGUGACAGGCUAUUAAUUCUCUGGUUGCAGGAAUAUGCUGUAGUGUGUUAAUAGAUGUAAAGGAUGCAAGUAGUAGCCCUCCUGAAAGCAAUGUUAGUGAGCAUGUAAAUGGGUCAUCAGGAAGCUAAAGGUGUGUACAAGGAGCAACUGUGAACCUGACAUUUUUGCGGAGUACGACGUUGGAUGUAUUUGGCGGUAUGAGGGAAGAAUGUGAACAAACUUCCAUUGCAGCAUUUGACUUGAGGCAGGUUCGAGAUUUUUUGAGAGCGCCACUAGUACAGUGCAUAUAACCGGACAGAGGUAACAAUAUAAGUUUAUUUAUUCAUUGUGAUUUUUAGUUUUGGAAUUGCCAGUGAGGACUGGUUGUGGUUUUUCUGUUCUUAGGGGUGUUUGGACCUGUCACAGAUUGCUGUGGCAGGUGAGAGCGUUUCAUGAUUUUCUAAUUGCAGAUGCUGUAAGAGAAUUGGCCUUUGAUUUCCAGGAUUAACUGCAUUUCGUAAAACGAUUGUCUCCCAGGGAACAUGUAAGCCUGUAUAAAUUUGUUAUGCCAGUUUGAUGUUAUUGUGCAACUGCUAUAGGUAAUGCUCCAAACUUGCUAGAUUUAUAUCAUUAAAGUGAUUUGGUUGGAUAUAGUGACUCCUUGCUAUGCAGAUGCAGCAGGGUGGGUGUGGGUGUUUGUGUGAGGAGUGUUGCAGGAGCAAGCAGGAUUAUGUUUUCUGCAUGUCGGAAUGUGAGACAGCAGCCGAAGGACGUGCGAUAGGAUGGCAGCUGCUUAGUAGUAAGCUUACUCAGUCAUUAAUGUGUGCAUCCACAUAUAUUCUGCUUACAGCCGAGUCAUGUGAUAGGGUGGAGUUAGAAGUAGUCUGCCCUUGUUAUAGCGUAUGGCAUAUGUGGCAUUUUCUGAUUGCAGGUUAGCCAAAUAACUUAUGUAGCCUGGUGAUUUUAUAUUGCACACUUUUGAGGCUCUGCGUGUGAGUCACAACAGGCACAGUAUGUAAUUAUGUUUUGUAAAGGCAGUGGAUAAAACAUAGUGGGUUGUGACACUCGCUAAAAGUACCAAAUGAUGGGUGAAUUAAUUUUGAAUUAUGGGGAGUUUCUGUAUUGAUUGGUGAAAUUGAGCACUGUUGAUUUUUCUGUGAUGGGGUGCGUGCAUGUUUUCUCUUCAACAGGUAUUUGGCGCAAGAAACUCUGCCCAUAGUCAGAGACUUGAAGAGGUAUCCAGUUUGUAAUUUUGCAACAGUAAUAAUACACUUAUUUUUGUGAGUCUAGUUGCUUGCUUUGAUGUAAGGUAAUAGUCUAGAUAGUUACCCUUGGUUGACGUGGGGGCAUUUAAAUGUGAGAUAAGCUGUUUGGUUCCUCUCGAGCAGGUACUGUGUGAAGAGUUGUGUACUGUGGCCCAUUAGGAAUGGGUAACCAACUUUGGACAACUUGAAAGAGGAGUAUUGUAGAGGGAUUUAGUACCAAUCGUGAGGUAAGAGUUACAUUGGCAACUUUGUGAGUAUGUGGCUUUGUGUGUUUAAUCAACGUCGCAGAUGUGUGUUGUCACCAUGAGCAUUAGUUCAUGGGGUGACAGGCUAUUAAUUCUCUGGUUGCAGAAAUAUGCUGUAGUGUGUUAUUAGAUGAAAAGGAUGCAAGUAGUAGCCCUCCUGAAAGCAAUGUUAGUGAACGUGUAAAUGGGUCAUCAGGAAGCUAAAGGUGUGUACAAGGAGCAACUGUGAACCUGACAUUUUUGCGGAGUACGACGAUGGAUGUAUUUGGCGGUAUGAGGGAAGAAUGGGAACAAAGUUCCAUUGCAGCAUUUGACUUGAGGCAGGUUCGAGAUUUCUUGAGAGAGCUACUAGAACAGUGCAUAUAACCUGACAGAGGUAACAAUAUAAGUUAAUAUAUUUAUUGUGAUUUUUAGUUUUGGAAUCGCCAGUGAGGACUGGUUGUGGUUUUUCUGUUCUUAGGGGUGUUUGGACCUGUCACAGAUUGCUGUGGCAGGUGAGAGCGUUUCAUGAAUUUCUAAUUGCAGAAGCUGUAAGAGAGUUAGCCCUUGAUUGCCAGAAUUAACUGCAUCCGUGGGUGGAUUGUCUCCCAGCGAACAUGUAAGCCUGUAUAAAUUUGUUAUGCCAAUUUGAUGUAAUUGUGCAACUGCUAUAGGUAAUGCUCCAAACUUGCUAGAUUUAUAUCAUUAAAAUGAUUUGGUUGGAUAUAGUGACUCCUUGCUAUGCAGAUGCAGCAGGGUGGGUGUGGGUGUUUGUGUGAGGUGUGUUGCAGGAGCAAGCAGGAUUAUGUUUUCUGCAUGUCGGAACGUGAGACGGCAGCCGAAGGACGUGCGAUAGGAUGACAGCUGCUUUGUAGUAAGCUUACUCAGUCAUUAAUGUGUGCAUCCACAUAUCUUCUGGUUACAGCCAAGUCAUGUGAUUGGGUGGAGUUAGAAGAAGUCAGCCCUUGUUAUAGCGUAUGGCAUAUGUGGCAUUUUCUGAUUGCAUGUCUGCCAAAUAACUUAUGUAGCUUAGUGAUUGUAUAUUGCACACUUUUGAGGCUUUACGUGGGAGUCACAACAGGCACAGUAUGUAAUUAUGCUUUGUAAAGGCAGUGGAUAAUACAUGGUUGGUUGUGACACUCGCUAAGAGUGCCAAAUGAUUUGUGAAGCUAAUUUUGGAUUAUGGGGAGUUUCUUUAUUGAUUGGUGAAAUUGAGCACUGUUGAUUUGUCUGCGAUGGGGUGCGUCCAUGUUUUCUCUUUAACAGGUAUUUGGCGCAAGGAACUCUGCCCAUAGUGAGAGACUUGAAGAGGUAUCCGGUUUGUAAUUUUGCAACAGUAAUAAAACACUUAUUUUUGAGAGUCAAGUUGCUUUCUUUGAUGUAAGGUAAUAAAUAGUCUAGACAGUUACCCUUGGUUGACGUGGGGGCAUUUAAAUGUGGGAUAAGCUGUUUGGAUCCUCUAGAGCAGGUACUGUGUGAAGAGUUGUGUACUGUGGCCUGUUAGGAAUGGGUAACCAACUUUGGACAACUUGAAAGAGGAGUAUUGUAGAGGGAUUUAGAGCCAAUCGUGAGGUAAGAGUUACAUUGGCAACUUUGUGAGUAUGUGGCUUUGUGUGUUUAAUCAAUAUCGCAGAUGUGAGUUGUCACCGUGAGCAUUAGUUCAUGGGGUGACAGGCUAUUAAUUCUCUGGUUGCAGGAAUAUGCUGUAGUGUGUUAAUAGAUGUAAAGGAUGCAAGUAGUAGCCCUCCUGAAAGCAAUGUUAGUGAGCAUGUAAAUGGGUCAUCAGGAAGCUAAAGGUGUGUACAAGGAGCAACUGUGAACCUGACAUUUUUGCGGAGUACGACGUUGGAUGUAUUUGGCGGUAUGAGGGAAGAAUGGGAAAAAAGUUCCAUUGUGGCAUUUGACUUGAGGCAGGUUCGAGAUUUCUUGAGAGCGCUACUAGAACAGUGCAUAUAACCGGACAGAGGUAAUGAUAUAAGUUAAUUUAUUCAUUGAUUGUGAUUUUUAGUUUUGGAAUCGCCAGUGAGGACUGGUUGUUGUUUUUCUGUCCUUAGGGGUGUUUGGACCUGUCACAGAUUGCUGUGGCAGGUGAGAGCGUUUCAUGAUUUUCUAAUUGCAGAUGCUGUAAGAGAAUUGGCCUUUGAUUGCCAGGAUUAACUGCAUUUCGUGGAAGGAUUGUCUCCCAGCGAACAUGUAAGCCUGUAUAAAUCUGUUAUGCCAAUUUGAUGUAAUUGUGCAACUGCUAUAGGUAAUGCUCCAAACUUGCUAGAUUUAUAUCAUUAAAAUGAUUUGGUUGGAUACAGUGACUCCUUGCUAUGCAGAUGCAGCAGGGUGGGUGUGGGUGUUUGUGUGAGGUGUGUUGCAGGAGCAAGCAGGAUUAUGUUUUCUGCAUGUCGGAACGUGAGACGGCAGCCGAAGGACGUGCGAUAGGAUGGCAGCUGCUUUGUAGUAAGCUUACUCAGUCAUUAAUGUGUGCAUCCACAUAUCUUCUGGUUACAGCCAAGUCAUGUGAUUGGGUGGAGUUUCCAGAUCUUCGUGAUCUGGACUCACAGUGAAGAACAACUGUAGAAUUUCCUCUCCAUCCUCAACUCCUUUGAUUCCAUGAGAUUCACAUGGUCCUACUCCAUAUCCAAUGGCGUUAACCUUGACCUCCAUCUGACCAAUACACACUUCCGUCCAAAUCAAACCCACCAACAAGCAACAGUACCUCUAUUUUGACAGCUGCCACCCAUUCCAUAUCAAGCGGUCGCUUCCCUACAGCUUAGGUCUUCGUGGCAAACGAAUCUGCUCCAGUCGUAAAUCCCUGAAACAUUACACCAAUAACCUGAAAACAACUUUCGCAUCCCGCAGCUACUCUGCCGACCUGGUACAGAGGCAAAUAACCAGAGGCACUUCCUCAUCCCCUCAAACCCAGAACCUCCCACAGAACAACCCCAAAAUUUCCCCAUUUGUUACAGGAUACUUUCCGGACUGGAUCAGACUCUGAAAGGGGCUCUCCAGCAGGGAUACGACCUCCUCAAAUCCUGCAUCCAAUGAGAUGCAUCCUUUAUGAAAUCCUCCCCACUCUACCAAGAGUGUCUUUCCGCCGUCGACCUAACCUUCGUAACCUGUUGGUUCACCCCUGUGCAAUCCCCAAAUCACGUUCCCUAACCUAUGGUUCCUGCCCUUGUAACUGUUGCCGCCUCUCAUACCUCACCUGUCAUUCAAUAACGUCUUUGCCUUUGUACAUCCGCCUCAACUGACGUUUCUGCUCAACCUAUUUAUAUUUACAUAUGUCUGCCUGUGUCUGUAUAUGUGCGGAUGGAUAUGUGUGUGCGAGUGUAUUACCCCCCCCCCCCUCCUCCCAAGUUAAGUCUUUCCACUUCCGGGAUUGGGAUGACUCCUUACCCUCUCCCUUAAAACCCACAUAUUUUCGUCUUUCCCUCUCCUUCCCUUUUUCCUGAAGAAGCAUCCUUAGGUUGCGAAAGCUCGAUGUGUGUGUGUGUGUGUGUGUGUGUGUGUGUGUUAUUGUCUCCUAUCAACUUCCCAACGCCUUUGUUAGGUAAGUUACGCCAUCUUAGUUUUUUAUAUAUAAUUCAUGCAGCUGUGUUUUUGCAAGGUGAUUGAAUGUAUGACUCAUGCCUGGCUGGUAUGGUGGCUUGUACUUUACUAACCACUGCACGAUGUGGAUUUAAAGUGCACCAUUUUGCUUUUGACCAUCUCGUCAGUUUGUUCACCCAUGUCAUGAAUGGUUUUCUGUGGAAAUCCCCGGAUGUGUGCGUUUUUCCAUUUGGAGAAAGCUUAAGACACCUGCUGAAGGACUGGUAUCCUCCAUACUCUACAUGUGGGGCUUCUGUGGGUGCCUGCCCCAUUUGCUUCAGGAAUUUUUGAAAAGACCGAGUUUUCAAAGUAAGUAUGGGUUCUGCCUUGUUGGGCACUUUUAUCCAGCAAAAUGGUGUGACUCGGGGUUCCGUACUGAGCAUCAUCCUCUUUGCUAUCGCCAUUAAUCCUAUAAUCGCCUGUCUCCCACCGGCCAUCAUCUCCGGCUCCCUUUUAGUUGAUGACCUUGCUAUCUAUUGCAGCUCUUCACAGACUUGUCUCAUUGAGCAGCAUUUUCAGCAGUGUCUUGAUAGUCUUUUCUUAUGGAACAUCGACAGUGGCUUUCGUUAUUCCACUGACAAAGUCAGUGCAAUUGGUUUCUCCCAUCAUCUUUACAUCUUGGGCCUGUUGCUCAUUGAAACUACGAAAUUCCUUGGGCUCCUGUUCGAUAGGAAAAAACUCUUGGUUCUCCCAUAUGUCUUACCUGACAGCCCACUGUACGUGGUUCCUCAAUGUCCUCAAUGGUACUUUCUGGGGUGCUGAUCAAACCAUCCUUCCCUUUUUGUACUGGCCCCUUGUCCAUUCAAAAAUAAACUGUGCAUGCUUUGUUUAUGCAUCUGCCCAUCCAUCCCUUUCACAUUGCCUCAAUACUGUUCACCUUCGUGGCCUCCGUUUGGCCACUGUCACCUUUUAAAUUAGCCCAGUUGAGAGUCUGUAUGCAGAAGCUGUCGAACUUUCAGUUGAGUGUCUGUAUGCAGAAGCUGCUGAACUACUACUGUCCUGCCGCCAUGACUUUCGCCUCAGUAGGUAUGCGUGCCAUUUGUCUGCUAUGCAUGAUCACCUAUCAUAUGCCCCCUUUUUCAAUGACUCCUUGAUUGCCAGUACGGGGCGCAUCCCUGACAGGGAAAAAAUGCUAAAACUUGUCUUGAAAUCAUGGAAAUAUCAGGGAAUUUCAAGUGGGGAAACUUGUGGCAACCGUGAUUUGGCUGGCAUGCAGAACUCUGCCCAUAGUGAGAGACUUGAAGAGCUGCCCGUUUGGUAAGUUUGUAACAGUAAUAAUAUACUUAAUUCUGUGAGUCUAGUUAGGUACUUUGUUGUAAGGUAUUAGGCUAGAUAGUUACCCUUGGUUGACAUGGGGGCAUUUAAAUGUGGGAUAAGCUAUUUGGUUCCUCUCCAGCAGGUACCGUGUGGCGAGUUGUGCACUGUGGCUCUUAGGAAUUCCUAAUCAAAGUUGGCCAACUUGAAAGGAGAGUAUGGUUGUGGGAUUUAGAGCCAGCCAUGAGGAAACGAUUGCAAUGCUGACUUUUUGCAGUGCACUAUUAGAUGCAAAGGGAGAAAGUAUGAGCCUUCUUGAAGAGAUGAUACUGGACAAGUAAAUGUGUCGUCAGGAAGCCAAAGUUGGUUAUUAAGAGGAAUUGCUAAAUACGACAUUUGCCCAGUAUGACUAUGGAUUUAUUUGACAGUAUGAGAGAUGUAUGUGAACAUAUUUCCAUAGGAAUAUUUGACUUGAGACAUGAUAAAUUUCUUGCGAGUGCUACAAGAAUGAUAGGUGUGGCUGAGGAGAGUGGUGGUUUGGCCUGUCAUGGACUGCUGCAAGGAUGAAUUUUUUUUUCUUUUUAAUCACUAUGCUCAUAUGAUGUAACGAGUUUUAUCACUAAAGGAGAAUGGAGGAUUAAGUUUUUGUUCAUCAGACUAUAGUGCCUCUGCCCAAGUGUGUGCUAUAUCAGAAAAGUUUUUGUGUAAUAAGUCUUUUAGGUCCUUAAUAUUUACAGUUAUCAAUUUUGGUGGAGAUCACUACAUCAUGUUUUGAGUCGUCAGGCCUUUUAUGCAGGUGGCAGUAUGUGUUAUUUUUUGAUUGCAGGUUCCUGUAUUAUGUCCUGAAAGAAUAUCUUGUGGGUGACAGAAAUAGUCCCAGUUCCAUUUUUUGUCGUGGUGUGUCAUUUAACAUGUUGAAAACAACUGUCCAUAUUGCCUUUUAAUCAAAGCUGUAACAUUUGUAACACUGUCUUCAGUUGUUAUUGUUGAUAUUUUACUGUGUUUGGAAAUUGUACCUCCAUGCCUUAUGGAAAUAACUUCAUUAAUGUUAAUUAAGCUUUAUUUGUUAGUAAUUAAUUUUAAAUGUGUAAUUUUGUCAUUUGCUACUCUUGUUCAUUAUCAGGUUACAUGUGUGUGAAACUUUGUAGAUUACAUUAAAGAUAUGUCUGAAGAAAAGUUAAAGCAAUAAAUAUUUUUAGUAAUUGUA